rnacentral:rRNA from 1 species
CCUACGGGUGGCUGCAGUCGAGGAUCUUCGGCAAUGGGCGCAAGCCUGACCGAGCGACGCCGCGUGUGCGAUGAAGGCCUUCGGGUUGUAAAGCACUGUCGAGGGGGAUCAAGGCGCAAGCUUGAGAGAUCCCUGGAGGAAGCACGGGCUAAGUUCGUGCCAGCAGCCGCGGUAAGACGAACCGUGCGAACGUUGUUCGGAAUCACUGGGCUUAAAGGGCGCGUAGGCGGCUUGCCAAGUCAGGGGUGAAAUACUUCAGCUUAACUGGAGAAGUGCCUUUGAUACUGGCGGGCUUGAGGGAGGUAGGGGUCUUUGGAACUUCUGGUGGAGCGGUGAAAUGCGUUGAUAUCAGAAGGAACGCCGGUGGCGAAAGCGAAGGACUGGACCUCUUCUGACGCUGAGGCGCGAAAGCUAGGGGAGCAAACGGGAUUAGAUACCCCAGUAGUC